GACGUAGGGGGCUAGCGUUGUCCGGAAUCAUUGGGCGUAAAGAGCGUGUAGGCGGUCCGGUAAGUCCGCUGUGAAAGUCGGGGGGCUCAACCCUCGAAUGCCGGUGGAUACUGUCGGGCUAGAGUGCGGAAGAGGCGAGUGGAAUUCCUGGUGUAGCGGUGAAAUGCGCAGAUAUCAGGAGGAACACCUAUUGCGAAGGCAGCUCGCUGGGACGUAACUGACGCUGAGACGCGAAAGCGUGGGGAGCAAACAGG
rnacentral:rRNA from 1 species